AACGCGAAGAACCUUACCUGGGCUCGAAUGUACGGGAAUCACUUAGAAUAGGUGCGCCUAGCAAUAGGCCCGUAUAUAGGUGCUGCAUGGCUGUCGUCAGCUCGUGUCGUGAGAUGUUGGGUUAAGUCCCGCAACGAGCGCAACCCUUAUCUCCAGUUGCUACCAUUUAGUUGAGCACUCUGGCGAAACCGCCUCGGAUAACGGGGAGGAAGGUGGGGAUGACGUCAAGUCCUCAUGGCCUUUAUGUCCAGGGCUACACACGUGCUACAAUGGCCGGUACAAACCGCUGCGAACCCGCGAGGGGGAGCCAAUCGGAAAAAGCCGGCCUCAGUUCGGAUUGGAGUCUGCAACUCGACUCCAUGAAGCUGGAAUCGCUAGUAAUCGCAGAUCAGAAUGCUGCGGUGAAUACGUUCCCGGGCCUUGUACACACCGCUACAGU
rnacentral:rRNA from 1 species